AUUGAACGCUGGCGGCAGGCCUAACACAUGCAAGUCGAGCGAGCGGCGGACGGGUGAGUAAUGUAUGGGGACUGCCCGAUAGAGGGGGAUAACUACUGGAAACGGUAGCUAAUACCGCAUACUAUCGGAUAACCCAUAUGGGAUUAGCUAGUAGGUGAGGUAAUGGCUCACCUAGGCGACGAUCCCUAGCUGGUCUGAGAGGAUGAUCAGCGACACGGGGACUGAGAAGCGGCCCAGACUCCGACGGAGGCAGCAGUGGGGAAUAUGGCACAAUGGGCGCAAGACUGAUGCAGCCAGGCCGCGUGUAUGAAGAAGGCCCUAGGGUUGUAAAGUACUUUCAGUCGGGAGGCGUUACCGACAGAAGAAGCACCGGCUAACUCCGUGACAGCCGCGGUAAUUC
rnacentral:rRNA from 1 species